rnacentral:snRNA from 2 species
GAGUUUGUUAUAUGCUUUUAGUAUUUGUCCAGUAGGUUUCCUUAAGGAGAGAAGCCCCA